rnacentral:tRNA from 1 species
ACGCGCCUUGCCCAGGAAGUCGCCGGUCUCGCACACCGGCCCGACGAUGUCGUAGCAGCGGGAUUCGGUGUCCUGGCGCGGCC